rnacentral:rRNA from 1 species
AUUGAACGCUGGCGGCAGGCCUAAAACAUGCAAGUAGAACGAGUAGCGGACGGGUGAGGUAUAGCUGGGAAACUGCUAGAUGGAGGGGGCUAACUACUGGAAGCAGGAGCCAAUACUGGACAUCAUCGGCGACGGCCAGAUGGGAUUAGCGAGUCGGUGGGGUAACGGCUCCCCUAGGCGACGGUCCCUAGCGGGUCUGAGAGGAGGACCAGCCACCCUGGAACGGAGACACGGUCCAGACUCCUACGGGAGGCAGCCGGGGGGAAUAUUGCACAAUGGGAGCAAGCCUGAUGCAGCCAUGCCGCGUGUAUGAAGAAGGCCUUCGGGUUGUAGAGUACUUUCAGCGAGGAGGCGUUACUCGCAGAAGAAGCACCGGCUAGCUCCGUGCCAGCAGCCGCGGUAAUAC